rnacentral:sRNA from 1 species
ACACACCCCAGUACACCAGCAGAGGAAACUUAUAACCUCGGGAGGCAGGUCCUUCCCCUCAGUGCGGUUGCAUACUUCCAGAAGAGCGGACCAGGGCUGCUGCCAGCACCUGCCACUCAGAGCGCCUCUGUCGCUGGGACCCUUCAGAACUCUCUUUGCUCACGAGUUACCAAAAAAAAAGAGCCAAGAUGUUGGUAUUGCUGGCUGGUAUCUUUGUGGUCCACAGACCUACUGCACUGAGUUAAAAUAGCGGUACAAGUUCUGGCAAGAGCAGAUACUGUCUUUGUGCUGAAUACGCUAAGCCUGGAAGCCAUCCUGCCCUUCUGACCCAAAGCAAAACAUCACAUUCCAGUCUGAAGUGCCUACUGGGGGGCUUUGGCCUGUGAGCCAUUGUCCCUCUUUGGAACAGAUAUUUAGCUCUGUGGAAUUCAGUGACAAAAUGGGAGGAGGAGAGAGAGUUUGUAAGGUCAUGCUGGUGGGUUAGCUAAACCAAGAAGGAGACCUUUUCACAAUGGAAAACCUGGGGGAUGGUCAGAGCCCAGUCCAGACCUCACACACGGCUGUUCCUCAUGGAGACC